rnacentral:rRNA from 1 species
ACGCUCGACACCUACGGGGGCAGCAGUAGGGAAGUCUUCCACAAUGGACGCGAAAGUCUGAUGGAGCAACGCCGCGUGAGUGAAGAAGGUUUUCGGAUCGUAAAGCUCUGUUGUUGGUGAAGAAGGAUAGAGGUAGUAACUGGCCUUUAUUGACGGUAAUCAACCAGAAAGUCACGGCUAACUACGUGCCAGCAGCCGCGGUAAUCUGAGCGGGCUGGCAAGGC